rnacentral:tRNA from 1 species
GGCGCAGUUGCUCUGCUGGUUACGGGCACCCUGACUUUCACUCAGGACUUCGUCGGUUCGAUUCCGAUCUGCGUCA